GCUCCGGUGGCCUAGUGGUUAGAGCGUCCACCUUGGAUGUGGGAGAUGGUGGGUUUAAUCCCCGGUCGAGUCA